AGUAGGAUCAGAGGGAGAAUUAUUUUGGUAAAAUAAUCUUGCAGCACCAAACUAUUUUGUCCAUACCUUCUAAAAUACUCAUUAAACUAUUAUUAAAUCUUGUUUUGGUUAUUGCACAAGGAGUACAUUCUUAAUAUGUUAUAAUCUGUCCAAUCCUUUGAAAAACUUCUUUAAAAAAAAAACUAAAUUUGUGAAUACUAAAACCAGGCUAGG
rnacentral:lncRNA from 1 species